GAUGAACGCUAGCUACAGGCUUAACACAUGCAAGUCGAGGGGCAGCGGGAAGUUUGCUUGCAAGCUUCGCCGGCGACCGGCGCACGGGUGAGUAACGCGUAUCCAACCUUCCCCGUAGUAGGGCACAGCCCGGCGAAAGUCGGAUUAAUUCCCUAUGCUCUUCACAGAUGACAUCAGAAGUGAAGCAAAGAUUUAUCGCUAUGGGAUGGGGAUGCGUCUGAUUAGGUUGCAGGCGGGGUAACGGCCCACCUGGCCGACGAUCAGUAGGGGUUCUGAGAGGAAGGUCCCCCACAUUGGAACUGAGACACGGUCCAAACUCCUACGGGAGGCAGCAGUGAGGAAUAUUGGUCAAUGGAGGCAACUCUGAACCAGCCAAGUAGCGUGCAGGACGACGGCCCUAUGGGUUGUAAACUGCUUUUAUGAGGGGAUAACCUGCGCCACGUGUGGCGCACUGCAUGUACCUCAUGAAUAAGGACCGGCUAAUUCCGUGCCAGCCGCCGCGGUAAG
rnacentral:rRNA from 1 species